GAUGAACGCUGGCGGCGUGCCUAAUACAUGCAAGUCGAGCGAACAGACGAGGAGCUUGCUCCUCUGACGUUAGCGGCGGACGGGUGAGUAACACGUGGAUAACCUACCUAUAAGACUGGGAUAACUUCGGGAAACCGGAGCUAAUACCGGAUAAUAUAUUGAACCGCAUGGUUCAAUAGUGAAAGACGGUUUUGCUGUCACUUAUAGAUGGAUCCGCGCCGCAUUAGCUAGUUGGUAAGGUAACGGCUUACCAAGGCAACGAUGCGUAGCCGACCUGAGAGGGUGGUCGGCCACACUGGAACUGAGACACGGUCCAGACUCCUACGGGAGGCAGCAGUAGGGAAUCUUCCGCAAUGGGCGAAAGCCUGACGGAGCAACGCCGCGUGAGUGAUGAAGGUCUUCGGAUCGUAAAACUCUGUUAUUAGGGAAGAACAAAUGUGUAGGUAACUAUGCACGUCUUGACGGUACCUAAUCAGAAAGCCACGGCUAACUACGUG
rnacentral:rRNA from 1 species